GUGCCAGCAGCCGCGGUAAUACGUAGGGUGCGAGCGUUAAUCGGAAUUACUGGGCGUAAAGCGUGCGCAGGCGGUUCGACAAGUCCGAUGUGAAAGCCCCGGGCUCAACCUGGGAACUGCAUUGGAAACUGGCGAGCUUGAGUGUGGCAGAGGGGGGUGGAAUUCCGCGUGUAGCAGUGAAAUGCGUAGAGAUGCGGAGGAACACCGAUGGCGAAGGCAGCCCCCUGGGCUAACACUGACGCUCAGGCACGAAAGCGUGGGGAGCAAACAGGAUUAGAUACCCUGGUAGUCCACGCCCUAAACGAUGAUCACUGGGUGUUCGGGGAGCGAUCUCUGAGUACCGUAGCUAACGCGUGAAGUGAUCCGCCUGGGGAGUACGGUCGCGAGAUUAAAACUCAAAGGAAUUGACGGGGACCCGCACAAGCGGUGGAUGAUGUGGAUUAAUUCGAUGCAACGCGAACAACCUUACCUACCCUUGACAUGUCCGGAAGCCCGCUGAAAGGCGGGGGUGCCUGAAAGGGAACCGGAACACAGGUGCUGCAUGCUGUCGUCAGCUCGUGUCGUGAGAUGUUGGGUAAGUCC
rnacentral:rRNA from 1 species